UUAUUUCAAGAUCUGUUUUAUUCCAACAUCCAACAUCAAUAUGAACAUCACAAUUUUAUUGAGGCAUAUUUGACAAUCUUAAAUUGUAUAUGAACAAUAUAAAAGUGAUGGCAUUAUUGUUUCAAAAAGUAUAAUAUUUUUGAGGUUGAUCUCGACUAUUGCUUUAGAACUAGACAUUGAUGAAUGUAGGAAAAAAAAAUAGAAAUAAAAUCUAUCGUGGAAGGUAAGUCUUUCAAGUUUUCAAAGUAUACUAGAUUUUUCAGAUGAUCAAUCUUGGAAUUUCCAUAGGAUACCUUAAAAAAAGUUUGUUUAUUCAUAUGAUGACCCAUUAUGUUGGCUUAUUCUUUCCGAGUUCAUCUGGUAGAAUCUUCAUUAAGUUUGAAUAACUAGCUGUCAUUAUCAUGUAAUGAUUCUAGAAAAUGCAUGAACUGAUUUUAUUAAUGUUAAGUCAAGUUCACUUAUUAAUAUAUUUUUUUUAUAUUCCAAUAAGAUUAGCCAAUUUUAUAGUCAUUUAUGAUCGUUAAUUUGAGUUUUUUUUUAGAUGUUUGCAUUGUUUCAUAUGUGUAUUUUAUGGUACACCUUUUUAGUGGUGCGUAUUUAUUUUAUAUAUUAUACAUUGCAUGUAUAUUUGAUCGAUAAAUGAAUGUUGGCAAGUAAUGUAUAAGAUUUUUAUUAUUAUGCUAAUGUAUAUUUAUCCAGCUGAUGUACAAGGUUAUCAUUAUGACAAGUAAUGUAUAAGAUCAUUAUUAUGACCUUGUACAUUAACCAUAUAAUGCAUAAGGUUAUAAUAUUUAAUGUUAAACAAAUAUUAAAUUUGGAUAAAGUAUGAAAUCUGAUACUAUAAUGUUUAAGUAAAAAGUUUUAUUAAUGUUACAAUCUAAUGUAUAAGGGUUCAUUAUACAUUUUUGUAAAUUGUGGACCUUUAAUCUAUCAUUUUAAAGAUUGAAAAUAAUGGUUGUAUUAUUUUAUCAUAUAAAAUGCUGAAUAAAUGCUAAAUUUGACAAAAGUAUGGAAUAUAAUUGUAUAAUGUUUAAGUAGAAAGUUUUAAUAAUGUUACAAUCUAAUAUAUAAGGAUUCAUUAUACAUUAGACAAAAAUAUGGACUUUUACUCUAUCAUUGUAAAUGUAACGUUUCGAAUCUGGUACUCGAAACGCUACACGGUGCCCAUGACCCCGAAGGACCACAAGCUAAUCCAUGACUGAUAUCUGUACCUGUACACUAAAUAAUAUACUGAAAGAUAUAUGUGGAAUAUAAAUUGUAAGGCCAUAAGGUUCAAAACUGAAUAAACAUCUGAUCAAACAAUGUCUGAAAAUGGUAUAACAAACCCAAAACUGAUAAUGACUGUCUAACAUUCUAUAGUUUGAAAGCCUCUAACUGUACUGAAUAAGGAGCUGAAGGAACAUGUCUCCAACUAACUCUAUCUACAAAAAGUUAACUGAAAUAAUGAAAUAAUAAAUAAUCAUAUCCUCCUCGAAUGAUGAGGACUCACCGCUAAUCUACAGCUGCUGGAGUCUGGAAUGCUACUAACACUCUAGAUCUCGUGCUGCUGAAACUAUAGUAUAAAAAUACCAUAGCAUGAAUGCGUCAGUACGACUGAAUGUACUGGUAUGCAAGUGAGGUAGGCUGAAUGCAUGGGGUUUAUAUGCAUGAACAAUACUAACUGACUGACUAACAUAAACGUGAGAAUACAUACAUGAAUACGUAAUUGUAACUGUAGUCAUAAUAGAACUGAAUACCGAAUUUUGAAUACUGAGUCUACUAAUAACAUGGAUUUACUGAUAUCUGAGUUUACUGAUAUUGAUAAUUGAGUGACUAUUUCUGACCGUUCUGAUUAUGAAGAACUGAUCUGAUUGACUAUAUCUGACAGUCCUGAAUCUGAAUACUGAUAAUAUGAGUUUUGUGUAACUGAUAAAAUGAGUGACUGUAUUUGACAGUCUUGAUACUGAUGAAACUAUCUGAGUUUCGUUCUAAGUUGAGUUGACUGUAUCUGACAGUCCUGAAAUCUGAAGAACUAUCUAAGUUCUUUUACUGAUACUGAGACUAAGACUGAGACUGUGGGAAGUAGUCGUCUAACCAACAUUCCCCUAAUACUCCAUUAUGGAUGAGUUGGGGUCCAAUCUGUAACCCCAAUUAGAAGGGUGUCAAUACCGCACCACUGGUAAGGACAAGCUGUAUGUGACCCUCAUCUGACAGUGUUUAUCCACCUCAUCAACCCUCAUCUGACAGUGUUUAUCCACCUCAUCAACCCUCAUCUGACAGUGUUUAUCCACCUCAUCAACCCUCAUCUGACAGUGUUUAUCCACCUCAUCAACCCUCAUCUGACAGUGUUUAUCCACCUCAUCAACCCUCAUCUGACAGUGUGUGUUCCCAUCCUUGGGUUCGCUCAGUGCUAACUCCUACUCCCAUCUGAAUAGACACUGAACAUGAAUUUACUAAACUGAACUGGACUGAGUUUAUGGGGUUUCGUUGACUGACGAAAUACUACUGAUAUUACUAAACUACUGGACUUUCUGAGAUUUUUUAGAUUUCUGAGUCUUUCUUGAGUCACAUGACUAACUGAAAUCUAUGGACCAUGGCUUGACUAAGAGUAACAUGAAACAUGACACUAGCUCUAGUCACACAACUAUAUUUUUCGUGUAUAAAUACCCUAGGACUCGAUAGAAGGAAACUGACAAAUAUUCUGGCUUUUGAUGGAACAUUUUAUGUCUUUUCCUUAGAAUAAUUGUAUGUUUUCAAGUAACUAAUGUUGUAUCUAACAUCAUAUUUGAGUGUUUUCAGGAUAAGAGCUAAGUGUGGAGAAUAACUUGAGAAACGGGGCAAAACAAAGAAGAAAUAGGAAACAACGGUAUGCGCUGGCCCGUCGGCCUUGUGACGUCCUAUCGAUCUAUACCAUCGACACAAAGCAGAAGACAACAUUAAUGGAAGAUCCUCGAUGGUAUGAACGAUGGACCGUCAGACAUAUGAUGGACCAUCGGACAUGCGAUGGACCGUCGGACAUGCGACGGACCGUCGAUCCCCACCGUCACUAAGAGGCAGAAGAUACCAUCACUGAAGGUCUCACGACGGUACAUGCGAUGAACCGUCGGAUGCUCGACGAACCAUUAGUAUGCACCAUCGAAUCAAAAAAGAGGGUAACCUUACUGGGUAACAUCCGAUGACACAAGCAAUGAACCAUCGGACGCUCGAUGGACCAUCGAGUUGUACCAUCAAGCAUGACGCGGUAGCUCCCAAAUUUAGUUUUGAAACACAGACUUUUGGAGUCCUAUAAAUACUAAGUAUUAGGGUUUAUUUUGACAUCUUUUUCACCUUAGCCCUCAUCUUUUUAGUUUUUCUCUCCAUGUUAGCUCAUCUUUAACUUUUCCAUUUUUUAUUUUUUAGCAAAGUUUUCUAGAUCUUGAACUCAUUGUGACUUAGCAUAUUUUGG
rnacentral:lncRNA from 1 species